GAAAUUGAUAGUUAAUUUUUCGGUGUCCCUUAACUGCUAACAUUUAAAGUGAGCAUUUUUAUUACUAAAGAGAGAUGCUUAUGGAACCACUACUGCAAUAAGAGUCAUAGUGGUUUUAGCAAUGAUGAAAAGGUUAGAUCUAUUAGAAGGCACUCAAGGCAUAAUUGAGAUGUAUAAAAUUUCUGGUACAUUAUGAAACUGUUUUAAACUUUUGGAGAAAAGUAGAAUUGAAGUGAUAAAAGAACAAACUGAUUUUAAAUCAUAAGGUUCAUUUAAGGAUUGCUUUCUUCUCUAGCAUGUAUUUUUUCCCCAUAGGCAACACAUUAGCAGAAUUAUUCUCUAAUAUUUAUUACUAUGUAUAUUAUGUCUUAUAUGUAUUAUUACAUUCAAACAACAAACUUAUUCAUAGCCCAGGAAGGUCCUGUUGUGGCUCAGCAGGAUCGAACCUGCAACCUCAUGGUUCCAGGUCAGAUUCAUUCCAUUGUGCCACAACAGGAACUCCCAUUCAGGCUAUAAUAUUCUCAUUUUCAUCUAACCUGUUAAAAUAUGGCAUACUGACAUUCAUUCUGAAGGAUAAUUUAUUAAUGUAUUAAUGUACCCAGUGACCUAUAGACAUCUAAUAACUGCUGAAACAGCAAGGCUUAGAUUUGCCCUGUGAGUCAAUAUGUAAAAAUUUUAACCCAAAGUUUUGUAUCAUGUAAGAGUGUGACUCUGAGAUGUCAUUUUAAAGUUCUGCAUACAGAUAUUCUGAGUGAAAUAAACUUUUUCAUGAUGUUCAUAUCUCUAAUAUGUUGCUGAUGUUUGAAGCAACUCAAAAACUUUUCAGAUUUUAUGAGUGUCUACUUGAUUUGAACAUUCCUGAGAUCUUUCCCAGUAGGAAAGUGGUUGUUUGUUCUUGAAAUUUAAAUAAUCCCAUUGUGACCUGAAGGAAACAGAACUUUCUGAGUUACCUUGAUGGCAAAAAUGAAUUCUGCAAGAGGCGCUGGAGGGAUUGACUUCAACAGCAAUGUGCCAGUCAGAAAAAAAUUACUUGUGUCCUGAUUUGAGUGUCAGUGAAUUUGGAUGAAACAAAUUCCUGGAUUUCCAGGGACUACAUCUCAUCCCUUAAAAUGUCCACUCCUGUGUCUUAAACCUUUCCCUCUUGAUUACUUCAUAUUUGGCAUACAUGCAUGCUCACCUCUUGCUAAAGAUUAAAAACAACCAAAUUCACAUACCAACCUUCUCUCAUCUCAUGUCUAUCCCAAGUACUACAUUACCUCGGUCCGCACAGCUGGGAAGUUGUUUACACUUUUCCAGACCAUCCCUUGGCAUUAUUUAUCUACUCUAUUGUGAGCUUGAUCCCAAUUUUAUUAUUUUUUUUCUAAAUAGCUUCAUGCUUCCCAUCCUCUAAUUACCUUGUGUAGAUAAUCUUAUUUUCUCACUUCUUAAGUUAGAUGCUAGUGUAUUUAUGUCUGCAUUUCUUCUUAUUCUAAAAUGUUUAUUUAAAGCUGUCAGUGUCCCUGUAAGUACGGCUUUUACUGCAUUCCUCAAUAAUUGCUAUGCAAUAUUUUUGUUCUGAUUCAAAUCUGAAUUUGAAAAAAUCUGUUAUGAUUUAUGCUUUGACUAUACAUUGUUUAUGUGUAUUUUAAUUAAUGUAUAAAUUUAAUAUUUUUUAUAAGUUAAUUGGACUGUGGUCACAGACAUAAUUCUUUGCUACUGGUUUAGAUCACUUCUAUGCUGGAGUCCUAGCAUGUGGACAUGUUUGUAAUUGCCUUAUAUAAUCUUGAGAAGGAUGAGUGUUCUCCAUAUAUUCCAUAUAUGUCCAUUAAAUUUAGGUUAUUGAUUGUGUUCUUUAAAUACUUUUUAUCUAGUCUAUAUUGUUUUCCAACAUGACCUAUCAAUAUUGAAAAUAACAUAGUGGUAUCUCUUACUUUGGCAAUUACUAUAUAAAAUUUCUUUGGGUUCUAUCAAUUUUUCGUCUAUAAAACUUUUGCUUUUUUAUUUAGGUGUAUGCUUUUUGGGGACUAUAUCUUCCGAAUAACCUUUUAUCAUUAUAUAAGAGGGUAACGUUCAUAAAAUUUUUGUAAUUUACCUGACUUUUGUCUUAUUAAAGACAAGUCUCUUUUUCUAACAUCAUGGAAAUAUUUUCUGUAUUUUCUGAGACGUACUGUUUAUUUUUUUAAGUAUUGUAUUUUCCCUUUGUUUCUCUUAUUGCUUUGAUGGCAGCUUCAGGAACUCUUUGCAUAGUAACAAUUACAGUAAAUGUCCUUUCUCUUUUAAAGUGUUCAACUUUAUGAAGUGUUUUAAAUUUUUUAUCAAGUAUUAUACAUGUGUGAUAUGAACAUACAUAUAAUUUUAUAUACCGUUGUAUUAUCAUUUCCUAUUUAUCUCUCUAACGAUCUUUUGAGCUGUAAGUUCCUUCAGGAGAAUAUCCUUUUUUUUAACCAUUAUAUAUCCACUGGCUAGCAUAAUGCCUAAUAUGUGGUAAAUAUUAAAUUAGUAUUUAUUAAGUUUGAGUAAAAAAAUAAAUAUAUACUAUCAGAAGCAAGUGUUUAUGAACUAAAAACUGGAUAAUGACCAAAUCAUCGUACAAACCUUUGAUCAUUAUUUUGGGGGUUGUUUGUGUUUUUUAUUUCAACAAAUGAUUUUUCUGAAUUUGUUAAAAAUAGUAUUUUAUGAGUUAGGAGUUUGUUUAGUUGCCUGCGGUUUGCCUGUUGUUGUUUUAUUUUUCAUUUAUUUCUCUUUUUAAAAUAACACUUGCUAAAGCCAGAGAUGUUAUUGAUGGACCAAAAUAAGAAUUGAGCCACAAAAAAGCUGGUCAAUCAGGAACGUGGUGAUUGUGUUAACUUGGUAUUAUUAUUAUGUAUCAAGUUGCAGAGUGGCAUUUUAAAAGUUAUGUGAAUAAAUAAAAUUACAAUUUUGGGCUUUGCACAACUUUUUAGUUCAUUUUAUUUUAUUUUUUAAUUUUUUAGGGCCACACCUGCAGCAUAUGGAAGUUCCCAGGCUAGGCUUAAGAUCAGAGCUGCAGCUGCCAGCCUACAUCACAGCAAUACCAGAUCCCAGACUAGUCUGUGACCUAUGCUGCAGCUCAUGGCAAUGCCAGAUCCUCAACCCACUGAGCUGAGCGGGGCCAGAAAUUGAACAUGUGUCCUUAUGGGUGAUAGUCAGGUUUGUUACCGCUGAGCCACAACAGGAGCUCCUAGAGUUCAUUUUAUAGUGUAAACAUUAAUGUGAGUGUGUGUAUUUUAAAAAGCUAAAAAUCAUCAGAAAGUCUUAACUUGUAAUUUCUGGCUAAUUAUGGCUGCAGAAGUCCAGGCUUUCCACAAACUCUAAUCAACCAUGUUAGAAAACCAUUCAUUUCACAAAGUAGACUGCUAGCCACAUACCAUCAAAAAUACCUCUGUUUCAAAAUUUAAAAUUAGAAAUAGGUGUAGUAAAAUUUGACUUGACUUUGACAUUUGCUAAGGUGCCAGGUAAACUCAAUUUAGUUUUGUUUUGUUUGUCCGUCAUCAAGUAAUUAUUAGAAAUAUUGUCCUAUUCAAAUAUAUUUCAGUUCAUUUUUGCAAUGGUUAUAUUUACUCAUUGUAAAAGCAAAAAUUCCUAUUACAGGCCCCUAAACUUCACAGUCUUAAGAAAUCUCAGCCAGGUUGCCUCUUUUAUUAUACAUUCUUUUUUAAAAGAAGCAGUGAGUAGCUUUUCUUCUCAAGUCAAUGCGUGUCAGUUACAAAUUCAUAGUACCUUUGUAGCUUGAAAGGCUCGUGCUUCAUGACAGGUGUCAAGACUGGUGAUGACUCAAAUUAAUAUUAAAGAAUAAUAAAUGAGGAGUAGAAGAAUUCUGCAGAAUCUUCUCUAAGACACUCAGUUUUAAGACCUUAAUGUCCAUAAAAAUGAAUUGCUACUAGGCAAAUUAUGAGAUGAUUUGGAAUAGUGGUACUUGAAGAGAAUAACACAGAUUUGUGUGACAGGCUUUUUUAAUGUAAGUCUGAUAUUCGAGUUAUAAACUGGUUUUCUAGUUAUUAGUAAUUGGUAGAUAUAAAAGACUAACUUUGUAGGUAGGGUCUAUUGAUGUUUCAUUUUUUUCUGAAUAAGGUUAAGUGUUAAGAUAUAUUAUUUCUCAGUGCUUCUUUUAAAUUUAGUAUAUAAAUAGAAUAUGGUAUUGAACUCUUGAAGAUUUUAAGAACUUUCUGUGUUUUAGAAAAUGUCCUAAGUCCUUUAGGAAAUACUAUAUCAAUGAAGAUUAUUUUUUAUGGACUUACGUGUUUCUAAAUAAAUGAUUUUAAACUAAAAUAAAAUUUGCAUUAUGAAUACAAAUAAAAACAUAUACACAAAACAAACACACACACAUUGCACAGUUUCUAAGAGUGAGAUUAACUAAGCCAGCCAUAACCAAAGUACAUUGAUUAGAAAUAUAGGCCAAUGCAGAUAGUAUAAUAAAUUCCUAUGGAUUUGAAAGAAACUGCCCACCAUCAUAUAAUAGGAAAGUCCUCUUUUCCCAAAAUUCACAAAAAUUCUACUUAUAAAUGCAGUCUCUGAAUUGUGUGAAUGCACACCAGUGACAUGUGCUGUGUUCACUUAUGCCACCUACCCACAUGUGUUAAAAUGGCAAAUUAAAACGGCUUUUCAGAUAUAGCACUGAUAUUGACAGAGUUGAAAGAAAUUGCUCUGCCAUGAAUUAAAAUGUAGUUUUGUGAAGACAUUUCACCCCACUCCCCACCACCACAGCGGGCAGAAAAAAGAAAUGGAAAAUCACACAGCAUCUAGGAAAAAUAGAUACUCUGAGAUUUCUGAAUAAUGUCCUUCAACUUUCAAAUAAAGAUGAAAGUAAGUCAAUUCCAAACUGUGAAUACAGGUCAUAGCUGAUGAAAUUCUUCAUAUUUGAGUAGAAAAUAAAAUUAAGUAUGAAAGUGGGUAGAGUUAGUAAAAAGAAAUCCUAAUUGGAGUGACAGUCACCAAAGGAAAAAGAACAGAGUGAUAUUUAGAAAUGUUGUUUUG
rnacentral:lncRNA from 1 species